rnacentral:rRNA from 1 species
CACUUCGGUGGGGAUUAGUGGCGAACGGGUGAGUAACACGUGGGCAAUCUGCCCUUCACUCUGGGACAAGCCCUGGAAACGGGGUCUAAUACCGGAUAACACUUCCACUCUCCUGAGUGGGUGGUUAAAAGCUCCGGCGGUGAAGGAUGAGCCCGCGGCCUAUCAGCUUGUUGGUGAGGUAAUGGCUCACCAAGGCGACGACGGGUAGCCGGCCUGAGAGGGCGACCGGCCACACUGGGACUGAGACACGGCCCAGACUCCUACGGGAGGCAGCAGUGGGGAAUAUUGCACAAUGGGCGAAAGCCUGAUG